AAGUCGUAACAAGGUUUCCGUAGGUGAACCUGCGGAAGGAUCAUUACCGAGUCUGGGAACCCCCUCACCGGGGCCCAACUCCCAACCCUGUGUCUAUUAAACCUGUUUGUUGCUUCGGCGGACCGGCGUCCUUCGGGACCGCCGCCGGGAGGGGUUCAGUCCCCCCCUGGAGAGCGUCCGUCGACGGCCCAACCAACCAAACCCAAAACCUGAAUCGAAGAAACACAAUUUACCUCUGAAUCAGUACCUGAUUUAUCACUAAAUCAAAAACAAAACUUUCAACAACGGAUCUCUUGGUUCUGGCAUCGAUGAAGAACGCAGCGAAAUGCGAUAAGUAAUGCGAAUUGCAGAAUUUCCGUGAGUCAUCGAAUCUUUGAACGCACAUUGCGCCCUUUGGCAUUCCGAAGGGCAUGCCUGUUCGAGCGUCAUUAUCCUCUCUCAAACCCCCGGGUUUGGUGUUGGACCACGGGGGCGUCAUCGCGCACCCCCCGGGUCUCAAAGACAAUGACGGCGUCCGUGGGACCCUCUUCGCACUGAGCUUUCCGGAGCACGCGUCGAGUUGCAAGGUCCUGCGGGCCCGGUCACCUCUAUUUUACUUCUAAGGUUGACCUCGGAUCAGGUAGGAAUACCCGCUGAACUUAA
rnacentral:rRNA from 1 species